UGCCAGCCGCCGCGGUAAUACGGAGGGGGCAAGCGUUGUUCGGAAUUACUGGGCGUAAAGGGCACGUAGGCGGCGAUGCGGGUCAGGUGUGAAAGCCCCGGGCUUAACCUGGGAACUGCACUUGAAACUGCAUUGCUUGAGGACGGAAGAGGAGAAUGGAAUUCCCAGUGUAGAGGUGAAAUUCGUAGAUAUUAGGAAGAACACCAGUGGCGAAGGCGGCUCACUGGUCCGGUACUGACGCUGAGGUGCGAAAGUGUGGGGAGCAAACAGGAUUAGAUA
rnacentral:rRNA from 1 species